UUUUUUUUUUUUGAGACAGUAUCUCACAUAGUUGGUUAAACUAGGUUAGGUUAGCCUAGACUACAUGAUAUUGUCUAGACUCACAGAAUUUACUUUGUCUAGGGCCUUCUAGAUUUGAGAUUUUCUCUCGGUCACUGUGAUGGAGAACAUGAUAGAAUGGUAUUUCCAGUCUUCAGUUGCCAGGGCAGAAUGUGAUCUUGUUACUGUCUCCACUCAAAGUAGCAUUCAUCAGAAGUUCUGGUCAGGACUUUGGUGAUGAGACUUCUGUCCUACGUACACCUUGGGGUUUGGUUUCAUCCCAAAGGCCCAUUCAAGCAUAUAUGUGUAUAUAUGCACAAUCCUUCUGAACUUGACAAAGACAAACAAGAAACAUCUGAAGAAGCAGGACAGGAGCUGUGUUCUGGGGCCUGGGAACAUGAACUCAGUUUUGACUCUGUCAGCCAGGUGGACCUCAGGAAAUCCCCUCCUGACACAUCAAGGCCUGCUGUCUUCCAGUUGCCCUGUAGCAGUUCUGCAGGCUUCUUCCCAGCAAAGUCAGCAUCCUCCAGCAGAGUUCCAAAGUUCCGUGUCCUCUCCAGCUGCCUUUACUCCUCCGUGGAACCGAACCACAAGCAGGGGCUCCCUUCUCCAGGACCUUGGGCAAUGGGAGGAGGGACUGGAAGCCAGUGUGAUGCAGUCUACAGAAGAAAUCCCAGAGACAAGGCCCUGACAUGAUACGGUCUAGGGUGCUCCAUUGGAUUUGUUAUCUCUCCAGGUGAAGAGUUAAAAGGCAGGAAAAAAAAUCUGAAACAAGUGGCAGAGAAAUCUCAAGCACUGUAGACCAGACUAGCAGUUAAAGAAAGGUGUUUAAUGGGGGACCGGGGAGGACCACAUGCACACAGCAGAUAAGCAGAGCAGUGGAGGGGGUUAUCUCAGGUCUUAGAAAGACAGAAACCAGGGGCUGGGGAUUUAGCUCAGCGGUAGAGCGCUUGCCUAGGAAGCACAAGGCCCUGGGUUCGGUCCCCAGCUCCAAAAAAAAGAACCAAAAAAAAAAAAAGAAAAAAGAAAAAAAAGAAAGACAGAAACCCAGUCCCUUCUUGAGGCUUGGGGUUUUAAAGCCCCUGGAGCAUCUUCCUUCCCUCAUUUAGAGUUGGUCAGUUUGAAAGAAGCUAGGAUGGUUGAUUGGCCCAGAACUAUUGAGUGAUCAGGCCUUGAACUUGUUGCCAGCCAUCAGCUGGGGGCCUGCUAAUGGGAGACAAAAA